rnacentral:rRNA from 1 species
GACGAACGCUGGCGGCGUGCUUAACACAUGCAAGUCGAACGAUGAAGAAGAGAAACGCGAACUUCGGUUCAACUUUCACUUCGGAUUAGUGGCAGACGGGUGAGUAACGCGUGAGCAACCUACCUCUUACAAAGGGAUAGCCUCGGGAAACCGUGAUUAAUACCAUAUGACACAUUCAUAAGGCAUCUUAAGAAUGUUAAAGCUACGGCGGUAAGAGAUGGGCUCGCGUCCCAUUAGCUAGUUGGUGAGGUAACGGCCCACCAAGGCGACGAUGGGUAACCGGCCUGAGAGGGUGAACGGUCACAUUGGAACUGAGACACGGUCCAAACUCCUACGGGAGGCAGCAGUGGGGAAUAUUGCACAAUGGAGGGAACUCUGAUGCAGCGACGCCGCGUGAGCGAUGAAGGAAUUCGUUUCGUAAAGCUCUGUUCUAUGGGAAGAAAAGGACUGUACCAUAGGAGAAAGCCCCGGCUAAAUACGU